rnacentral:tRNA from 1 species
GUAGCUCAGUUGGUAGAGCAGGGGAUUGAAAAUCCCCGUGUCGGCGGUUCGAUUCCGUCC